CUUUCAUUACAUUACAUUUUGUAUUGAUUAACAAUAAUUAGUUAAAAUUACCAUGUUUUUACUGCAGGUGCCUCCAGUGGGUGAAAGCCUUGAAAAUUGGCUUUCAAAAGCAUACUCAAGCCAUCUGUAGUGACCACUUUGAUGGGGUUCAUUUUGGCAGCAAGGGCCAGCUGCUGCCGACUGCAACCCCACGUCACACAGAUGGCCAUGAGGAGCAACCACCCACUGGGUUCCCGGCAUCAUCCCACAAUGCAGCCGCCAUUGACUUGGAGCCAAUGGAGUUGGAACUCUCCUCUACACAGAUUGUGCUGCCACAUUAUG